GGAAGACAUCUGGUAGCUUCUGGAGCAGCUGCAGCAGCCAGGACACAUGAACUACAGUGGAGUUCAGAUCCUCAGCUGGCCUCAUCACCGACAGUCCCAUGAGGAGUGGGUGUUUGUUUCCUGCUUCACAGUUAGGGCAGGAACAAGCCCAGACGCAGUCUUGCUUUUAACUACUGGACCCAACACAAAGCCUCCCUUGCAGGCUUACCAGAGCAUGAAAACGAAAUGGCCACCUCCUGUAACAAGAAAACUUCUAGAAGAGGAAGGAGACAUCAAUACAUUCACAAAACUUUCAACUCGAAAUCUGUCUUGCCAAUAAGUGUGCAGGGAUAAAGACAGAAAAGUAGCACACCUGUCUCCAGAGGCUUCACUCAGCAGCUGAAAGCCACAGCCAAUCCUCAGAUGGAGCUCGGGAAGUCUUGUGGAAGAGUGGUGGGAGAGUGACAAGGAAACUGGUUGGGAUAAAACACUACAAGAAGUCCCCUACCGUCAGAUACCUUGGACCAUGGAGUAUGCUAGAGCCUGUGCAACCAACCCCAGAGCCAGGUUAGCUAUCUGCAGUUGGUCUCCAUGUGGGUCAUCUGACAAGUAGAUCCAGGACUGUCUCAGUCUGUGUUGCCUGCCAUUGGAUCUGUUCCCCAUACCCUGACUGCCUGAUUGUAAAUCUGUGGGGCAGAAUGUGCUCGGGCCACCUGGGACUAGAUGUCCCGGGGUGGUGUGGUACCCAGGGACUCUCCCCUUGUCCAAAGAGAA
rnacentral:lncRNA from 1 species